ACCAUGGUUUGGACGGGGAAAGGGACAGUGAGGCAAUGCAGAAGGAGAAUUCCUAGAGCCGUUCCCAAAACACACUAAGUUUGCGGGAGAGAGGUGUCUCGAGGUUGUUUCAAUGAGCUGUUGGGAAACAUUUCGGAAACUGGGAUGUGAAGCUGCUCUGCUUCUCCUUCUGGCGACGUGUGGUCAUCUGGUUGACCCAGAGGACUGCGGGAAGGCCCAGUUAUUCUGAACACGCAUUUUCCUAACUAUGGGUUGGUAAAGACUUCUUUUUGAGUAUAAAAACCCUCUGAGAGAUGCCGUGGGUUAUGUGCUAUCCACAUUUUGUUUUGCAUAUUUUCCCUGCAAUAUCUGAAAUUAAUGGUUCAUACAAAUUAGAGAUUUGAGGGGAUGUAUGUGAGGGGAGGGAUGAAGGGCCUUCUCAGAGGAGUAUAACCUGGGGUGCAGUGAGGUUGGGGUCAUCUUAGUCAGGGCAGCAGACAAGGUUGACCUUGGAGGUAGGGGUACAGUGGAGUUGGGGGACGAGCAGCAAAGAGUAAGUUCCACAGCCCACAUCGCUCACAAAAUCAGAGCAACAGUGAACUGUUUUUCUGCUAGGUUUUCACACUACUGUAAUAUUUAACAAAAGAGGAUCCUACUGUGAAAAUAUAGCUGCAGCAUCAAUGGAUUAGAUCCAAUACACUUAAAUCUGCUCAUGGAAUUUGCUUUUUCUCUUCCCUUGCGUUGAAUUUUACAGCAUAAUAAAUACCGAGCCUCAGUAACUUUCAUGUGACUUCCAGGAGACAGUGGCAGCAGGGGCAAAUGAUUCUUCCUGGAUGGUGACUUUAAAGGCCUUCCUGUGCUUCCUGAGACACAAAAUCCUCUUCCCAGCGCCUGCCUCCUGACCCCAACUCAGGGCUGAGCCACAGAACCAGUGCACUCAUCCCCACAGCACUCCCUGCAGAAGUACCUGCACGUUCGUUUGCUGUGUCGUGAAGUGAACGCAUUUCACUGUUCAAUGCCAACUGAGAGGCAGAUACAGGCACUGAACUAUAGAGACAAGCCACGUUGAUUAUUCAUAAGGCUGCCUGCAGAUUGGGCCUUAGGCCAACGGACAUGUGUGUUUGCUAAUCUCCUCUGAUGACUUAGAAAGACCACCCACGGAGCCACAUGGGCACUGGACAAAGGGCCUGCCUCCACGCAGGGAGGGACAAGAGGGGGACAGAAGGCAGGCUUUCUCCAGGAGGCAGCUAUAGUUGUGAUGAGAUUUGAUUAAGUUGGUCUUCCUCCGGAGGAGAUGGGGGUGAGGGGAGGGGGCGCCAGCCUGGCAGUGGAAAGCUAUGAAGGAGGCAGGCCCCUCACCACCCACGGGCGGAUGCAGGCAUCUGACACCCAGGACACCUGACCGUCCUCCAUCGUGAGUCCUGUCCGAGCGGCCAAGCUUUGGUGAAAGCCCCGGCUCUGCACAACCAUUUCCGAAAGCAGAUCCUAGUGCUGAUCAUUGCAAAAGAGGUGAAGG